UACGGGGGGGGCAAGCGUUGUUCGGAAUUACUGGGCGUAAAGGGCUCGUAGGUGGCCAACUAAGUCAGACGUGAAAUCCCUCAGCUUAACUGGGGAACUGCGUCUGAUACUGGAUGGCUUGAGUUUGGGAGAGGGAAGCGGAAUUCCAGGUGUAGCGGUGAAAUGCGUAGAUAUCUGGAGGAAUACCGGUGGCGAAGGCGGCAUCCUGGACCGGCAUUGACGCUGAGGAGCGAAAGCCAGGGGAGCAAACGGG
rnacentral:rRNA from 1 species